rnacentral:rRNA from 1 species
UACAGAGGUCUCAAGCGUUGUUCGGAUUCAUUGGGCGUAACGGGUGCGUAGGUGGUGGGGUAAGUCGGAUGUGAAAUCCCGGGGCUCAACCCCGGAACUGCAUUCGAUACUGCCUUGCUCGAGUACUGGAGAGGAGACUGGAAUUUACGGUGUAGCAGUGAAAUGCGUAGAUAUCGUAAGGAAGACCAGUGGCGAAGGCGAGUCUCUGGACAGUUACUGACACUGAGGCACGAAGGCCAGGGGAGCAAACGGG